rnacentral:rRNA from 1 species
GACGAACGCUGGCGGCGUGCUUAACACAUGCAAGUCGAACGGAAAGGCCCUUCGGGGUACUCGAGUGGCGAACGGGUGAGUAACACGUGGGUGAUCUGCCCUGCACUUUGGGAUAAGCCUGGGAAACUGGGUCUAAUACCGAAUAGGACCACGCGCUUCAUGGUGUGUGGUGGAAAGCUUUUGCGGUGUGGGAUGGGCCCGCGGCCUAUCAGCUUGUUGGUGGGGUAAUGGCCUACCAAGGCGACGACGGGUAGCCGGCCUGAGAGGGUGACCGGCCACACUGGGACUGAGAUACGGCCCAGACUCCUACGGGAGGCAGCAGUGGGGAAUAUUGCACAAUGGGCGCGAGCCUGAUGCAGCGACGCCGCGUGAGGGAUGACGGCCUUCGGGUUGUAAACCUCUUUCAAUACGGACGAAGCGUGAGUGACGGCACCUAUAGAAGAAGCAGCGGCCAACUACGUGCCAGCAGUCCGUGGUAAUACGUAGGGUGCGAGCGUUGUCCGGAAUUACUGGGGCGAAAGAGCUCGUAGGUGGUUUGUCGCGUUGUUCGUGAAAACUCACAGCUUAACUGUGGGCGUGCGGGCGAUACGGGCAGACUAGAGUACUGCAGGGGAGACUGGAAUUCCUGGUGUAGCGGUGGAAUGCGCAGAUAUCAGGAGGAACACCGGUGGCGAAGGCGGGUCUCUGGGCAGUAACUGACGCUGAGGAGCGAAAGCGUGGGGAGCGAACAGGAUUAGAUACCCUGGUAGUCCACGCCGUAAACGGUGGGUACUAGGUGUGGGUUCCUUCCUUGGGAUCCGUGCCGUAGCUAACGCAUUAAGUACCCCGCCUGGGGAGUACGGCCGCAAGGCUAAAACUCAAAGGAAUUGACGGGGGCCCGCACAAGCGGCGGAGCAUGUGGAUUAAUUCGAUGCAACGCGAAGAACCUUACCUGGGUUUGACAUGCACAGGACGCCGGCAGAGAUGUCGGUUCCCUUGUGGCCUGUGUGCAGGUGGUGCAUGGCUGUCGUCAGCUCGUGUCGUGAGAUGUUGGGUUAAGUCCCGCAACGAGCGCAACCCUUGUCCUAUGUUGCCAGCGGGUUAUGCCGGGGACUCGUAGGAGACUGCCGGGGUCAACUCGGAGGAAGGUGGGGAUGACGUCAAGUCAUCAUGCCCCUUAUGUCCAGGGCUUCACACAUGCUACAAUGGCCGGUACAAGGGGCUGCGAUGCCGUGAGGUGGAGCGAAUCCUUUCAAAGCCGGUCUCAGUUCGGAUCGGGGUCUGCAACUCGACCCCGUGAAGUCGGAGUCGCUAGUAAUCGCAGAUCAGCAACGCUGCGGUGAAUACGUUCCCGGGCCU